UCUCAGUGAUGAAGAAACAUAGAUGACGAGUCCGAUGAAAUCCAUUCAUUAAAUCAUGGGGACAAACGAGGCAUUUGUCUGAGAGAA
rnacentral:snoRNA from 1 species